UACGUAGGGUGCGAGCGUUAAUCGGAAUUACUGGGCGUAAAGCGUGCGCAGGCGGUUUGUUAAGUCUGAUGUGAAAGCCCCCGGGCUCAACCUGGGAACUGCAUUGGAAACUGGCAAGCUCAAGUAUGGCAGAGGGGGGUGGAAUUCCGCGUGUAGCAGUGAAAUGCGUAGAGAUGCGGAGGAACACCGAUGGCGAAGGCAGCCCCCCUGGGCCAAUACUGACGCUCAGGCACGAAAGCGUGGGGAGCAAACAGG
rnacentral:rRNA from 1 species